rnacentral:piRNA from 1 species
UAAGUUGCAAUAUGCAAAAAU